AGAGUUUGAUCAUGGCUCAGGACGAACGCUGGCGGCGUGCUUAACACAUGCAAGUCGAGCGGAAAGGCCCUUCGGGGUACUCGAGCGGCGAACGGGUGAGUAACACGUGAGCAAUCUGCCUUAGCUCCGGGAUAGCUCCGGGAAACCGGAAUUAAUACCGGAUAUGACCACGGCCGACAUCGGCUGUGAUGGAAAGGAUU
rnacentral:rRNA from 1 species